CGCCAGCUUUCGGGGCGACCUUAGAGGGGCUCUGCGCCCCCCGUGUGGCUCGCGCUAAGCCCGGCAGGAGGGAGCGUCUCGGCGGAGGAGUGAGGAGGACGGGAGGGAGAGGCGGGCCAGAGCCUCGGUCCCGGGCGCCCUGGUCGGCCGCGGAGGAACUGCAGCCUCCAACAGGAAGUCAAGCAUCUCUGACAUGCUAUCUACCCUGCUUGGUGCCUGAGGAUCCUGCAUCCCGGCUCAUCCAGGAAGCACAGGCGAGCUCAUUCCCCGAAGGCAGACCAGCCAGGAGUGCUGAAUGCGAAUU
rnacentral:lncRNA from 1 species